UACGAAGGACCCGAGCGUUAUCCGGAUUCAUUGGGUUUAAAGGGUGCGUAGGCGGAUUGAUAAGUCAGUGGUGAAAUCUCCAGGCUUAACCUGGAAACUGCCAUUGAUACUGUCGAUCUUGAAUGUGGUUGAUGUGGGCGGAAUAUGACAUGUAGCGGUGAAAUGCUUAGAUAUGUCAUAGAACACCGAUUGCGAAGGCAGCUCACAAAGCCAUUAUUGACGCUGAGGCACGAAAGUGCGGGGAUCAAACAGG
rnacentral:rRNA from 1 species